rnacentral:tRNA from 2 species
GCCGACUUAGCUCAAUAGGUAGAGCAACUGACUUGUAAUCAGUAGGUUGAGGGUUCAAUUCCUUUAGUCGGCACCA